UUAUAUCAAAAUAGCUAACCUCCCAAAAUUACUAUCCUAUACAUGCCAUAAUGUCUACUAAAGUUUCAAACAAAAGUACCAAAAAGGUUGACAAAAGUUGCGAUGACUUCGUGAUGGUUCCCAAGCUUUCCUCGAAUAAAAUGAUCUAUACCAAAGCGAAAAACACACCGAGUGAGUUAUUAACUCAGUAAGUCCUAAGAAAAUUUCAAUACUAUAAUAAUUCAAUUAUCUACAAACUAAAUAAUUAACUCAAUACUAUUCGAACUAAGCCAUGAUAUCACAAGGAAAUAUAUUAUGUCACAAACGUACCUUAUGCAUUUGGUACAUACUUACCCGAAUACACCAUAUACUCCUACUCUAAAUAUUCACAAUUAAAAUACCAUGGCAAUGUCAUAUACAACCAUUGACGUAUAUAUAUAUAAUAUACAAAGCCUAAAAUUUAAAGCAUAAACCAAGCCACUCCAUCUAUCAAUCAAAUCUCCAAUUUAAUGUUUAGUUGCAUUCUUAAUUGCCACAAAUAAUAUUCCAUAAUCAACACUUCACACUUAGUGCUCGAUUUGAAAGUCCGCACACACAGUGCUUUUACUUAUUCGCACACAUAGUGCAAUGUUUUCUCGCACACAUAGUGCCACAUAGCUUCGCACACAUAGUGCUAUAUUUUCUUAUCUUUAAUCAUCAUAUUAUCAUAGAUUGAUCAAUAAUUUCACAUUCGAUUCCCAAGAACAUAUAUAUACUAUGAUAUCUUAUCUAAUUUAAUUUGUCUCAUCUAUGCUCAAAGUUAACUAUAACUUGAUUACCUAAGGACUUACCUUUUUAAUCGGAUGACAACUCCGAUCGGCUACUCCAUCACUCUUUCUUUCCCUUUUUCUGAACUUGGCUCCCUUUGAUCUUGAGCUCCAACUCCAGCUAAGCAAAUAAAAUAACUAAAUCAUCGUAAUCCCAAUUUAUACUUCUUCCUCAUAGACACACACACACAAAGAUUCGGUAUUUGCUCAUACAUAAUUUAAAAUUUAAAUCUUUAAACUUAAUGUAUAUCCAACAUACUUCUCAUAUAUUCCUAUAAUUCAAUACAUCAUAAGAUCAAUUUCGGCAAUUCACAUUUCCAAAUUUUAUUAGCUAAGUUCAUUUUUGGUUAGUGCUCUUUUAAAAUCUAUCAAGCUCGUAUUCCUCUAAUUUCAUGAGUUCAACGUCUUAGUGCCCAUAGUAACUACUCAAAUAAAUUUCGAAUACAUAAAUUAAGUCACCCCAAACUAUCUUGAUUUAAAAUCGACAAACAUACAUAUGUCAAACUAUUUUAACCAAAUUUUACUUAUCACUUAUACUAAAAUAUGCACUUAAACUUACUAUGUUUACAUCAUGCCUUACACUCCCAAAACAUAAGACAUCAAUCUAUUUCCUUCUUCCAUGUCUCAGUCAACUACUCAUUUUACCUCAUAAUCUUUAAUUUUGCAUUUUAACGUAUCUAUCACGACUUAUUCGGCUUACAUUAAACCAUUACUCAUACAAGAAAAUAGCAAACAAAAUGAAUAUUCCAUUCAAAUCCUCAUAUGGCCGAAUACACAAUGUACUACCCAACUAAUAAUUCAACAAGUUCAAUCUCAUUCUCUCAUCUACAUAUUCAAAACAACAUGAAAUGUAAUACCCCAUACCCGUACCUGAGACCGGGAUAGGAUACGAGGCAUUACCGAAAUUUUCAAAAUAAUUUCAAUUAAUUUAUAUUAUUUAGUAUUCAUUUUCAUGUUUCAUGUAACAUCCUUUUCAUAUAUUCAAUUCAAAAUAUCAUAUAAAAUACGAUACAAUACUUAAAUUUUCAUAUGUACAUACUCAUUCAGGGUAUCCGAACCUACCUGACUAAAUUGCAGAAAUACUAAGAUUUAGGGGCAUAUCGGUAAUUUACCAUUUUCCCAAAUUUCACCCAAUCUUAAAUUGAUAAUUUCAUUCAAUUUAUUAAUUUAGAUAAUAAAACAAUUUAUUCCCUUCAAUUUAGUCAUUUUUGACAUUUUUACAAAAUUGCCCCCUAAAAUUUUACUUUUAUUCAAUUUAGUCCAUGAGCUUAAAACAUGCAAAUUAGCCAUGCUAACUGAAUAUUCAUAUAUAUUUUUCCUCCUCCUCCUCUCCAUUCCACAUCCUUAAUGUAUAUAACAUUCUUGUAAGUACGAUUUCACAAUUUACUUAUUAAUGCUCACAUCAAUCUGUUCACACGAGUCAUAGUCACUCAAUUAUUUAUAAUUCGAGCUACAGAGCUCAAAAUUAAGAUCCGUAAAUUUUCCCUAAAACUAGACUCACAUAUCAUUCCACCAUAAAAUUUUAAAAAUUUUUUGUUUAGCCAAUUAGUACAGUUUAUUCAUUUAAUUUUCCCCUGUUUCACUAUCCAACAGUUCUGACCUCUCUUCACUAAAAAUUAAUUAUAUCAUAGUACAAAACUCAGAUAAUGUUCCCAUUGAUUUCUAUUGAAAAUAGACUCAUUAAGGAUUCUAAGCAUAUAAAUUUGAGACUCUAAUUAAUUUUAUCCAAUUUUUGGUGAUUUUCCAAAGUCAAAACAGGGGAACCCGAAUUCAUUCUAACCUUGUCUCACAAAAUUCAUUAUAUCUCAUAAUUUACAAAUCCAUUGCUUACACUGUUUCUUCUAUGAAAAACUAGACUCAAUAAGAUUUAAUUUUAUAUUUUAUUCAUCUUCUAAUUUGAUUUCUACAAUUUAUGGUGAUUUUUCAAAGUUAGUCUACUUCUGCUGUCCAAUAUUGUUUUAGUUCAAGAUGUUUAUUACCAUUUUUCCUCUAAAUUUCAAAGGUCAUAUAAUUCAGUCCUUGCUCAAUUAGCCCAUCUAUUAAGCUAAUUUUUCUCAAUUAACAUUUUAUUCCAUCAUUAUAAACUAUUACACAACCUUUGAAAAUCAUCAUUUUAACACUAAACCUUAAUUCACAACUUUUUCACAAUUAGGUCCUAAAAUUAAUUUCUAUUGAAAUUACUUGAUAAAAUCAUCAAACAACAAAAUCAAAGCUUAAAAUUCAUUUUAUUUCAUCAUAAACAGCCAGAACUUAUCAUUUAUAUCUUUUAAUUUUGUUCAUAAAAUAAAAAAACUAAUGAAUUAAACACUUGGACCUAAUUGUAAAAGUCACAAAAACAUAAAAAUCUCAAAGAAAAGGGUAAGAAUUGAACUCACAUAUGUCAAAAUAUGAAAAACCAGCAGCUUUCAGACCUCCCA
rnacentral:lncRNA from 1 species